UACGUAGGUGGCAAGCGUUGUCCGGAUUUACUGGGCGUAAAGGGCGUGCAGGCGGUUUGUUAAGUGCAGGGUGAAAGCCCCCGGCUCAACUGGGGAGGGUCAUUCGAUACUGUUCGACUCGAAGGCAGGAGAGGGAAGUGGAAUUCCCGGUGUAGUGGUGAAAUGCGUAGAUAUCGGGAGGAACACCAGUGGCGAAGGCGACUUCCUGGCCUGUUCUUGACGCUGAGGCGCGAAAGCUAGGGGAGCAAACGGG
rnacentral:rRNA from 1 species